rnacentral:rRNA from 1 species
GAGUUUGAUCCUGGCUCAAACGAACGCUGGCGGCAGGCCUAAAACAUGCAAGUCGAACGAACCCUUCGGGGUGAGUGGCGCACGGGUGCGUAACACGUGGGAAUCUACACCUAAGUACGGAAUAACUCAGAGAAAUUUGCGCUAAUACCGUAUAGUCCCUCCGGGGUAAAGAUUUAUCGCUUAGGAAUGAGCCCGCGUUAGAUUAGAUAGUUGGUGAGGUAAAAGCUCACCAAGUCCGCGAUCUAUAGGGGGUCUGAGAGGAUGAUCCCCCACACUGGGACUGAGACACGGCCCAGACUCCUACGGGAGGCAGCAGUUGGGAAUAUUGCGCAAUGGAGGAAACUCUGACGCAGCCAUGCCGCGUGAGUGAAGAAGGCCCUAGGGUUGUAAAGCUCUUUCAGUAGCGAAGAUAAUGACGGUACCUACAGAAGAAGCUCCGGCUAAAUUCGUGCCAGCAGCCGCGGUAAUACGAAUGGAGCGAGCGUUGUUCGGAAUCACUGGGCGUAAAGCGUACGCAGCGGUUACAAAAGUCACG